GGUGUAACCCCCUUUACCUGCCGAACCCCGCCAGGCCCGGAAGGGAGCAACGGUAGGCAGGACGUCGGCGCUCAUGGGGUUGAGCGGGGCUGAGGUUUGG
rnacentral:SRP_RNA from 1 species